rnacentral:rRNA from 1 species
UACGUAGGGUGCGAGCGUUAAUCGGAAUUACUGGGCGUAAAGCGUGCGCAGGCGGUUCUCCAAGUCCGUUGUGAAAGCCCCGGGCUCAACCUGGGAAUGGCAGUGGAAACUAGGGGACUGGAAUCUGGCAGAGGGGGGUGGAAUGCCGCGUGUAGCAGUGAAAUGCGUAGAGAUGCGGCGGAACACCGAUGGCGAAGGCAGCCCCCUGGGCUGAGAUUGACGCUCAGGCACGAAAGCGUGGGGAGCAAACAG